rnacentral:rRNA from 1 species
GAUCAUUACAGAGUUAUCAAAACUCCCAAACCAUGUGAACCUACCUACGUUGCCUCGGCGGACGCCAUGUCGGGCGCGGCUUACCCUGAAGCUACCCUGUAGCGGACGGCGCGGCCCGCCCCGCAGGCGCCGCCGGUGGACCCCUAAACUCUUGUAUUUUAGUGGACAUCUGAGCGUCUUAUUAAAUAAGUCAAAACUUUCAACAACGGAUCUCUUGGUUCUGGCAUCGAUGAAGAACGCAGCGAAAUGCGAUAAGUAAUGUGAAUUGCAGAAUUCAGUGAAUCAUCGAAUCUUUGAACGCACAUUGCGCCCGUCAGCAUUCUGGCGGGCAUGCCUGUUCGAGCGUCAUUUCAACCCUUAAGCACAGCUUAGUGUUGGGAAUCCGCGGGCUGCCCCGCGGUUCCCCAAAUCCAGUGGCGGGAACGUGUGUGUCCUCUGAGCGUAGUAAGUUCUCUUUUUCGCUCUGUGAGGCGCCGCGGCCCCUGCCGUAAAACACCCAACUUCUUUUAAUGGUUGACCUCGAAUCAGGUAGGAAUACCCGCUGAACUUAAGCAUAUCAAUAAGCGGAGGAAAAGAAACCAACAGGGAUUGCCCUAGUAACGGCGAGUGAAGCGGCAACAGCUCAAAUUUGAAAUCUGGCCCUCGGGUCCGAGUUGUAAUUUGUAGAGGAUGCUUUUGGCGCGGUGCCUUCCGAGUUCCCUGGAACGGGACGCCUUAGAGGGUGAGAGCCCCGUACGGUUGGACGCCUAGCCUCUGUAAAGCUCCUUCGACGAGUCGAGUAGUUUGGGAAUGCUGCUCAAAAUGGGAGGUAAAUUUCUUCUAAAGCUAAAUACCGGCCAGAGACCGAUAGCGCACAAGUAGAGUGAUCGAAAGAUGAAAAGCACUUUGAAAAGAGGGUUAAAUAGCACGUGAAAUUGUUGAAAGGGAAGCGCUUAUGACCAGACUUUUUCCAGGCGGAUCAUCCGGUGUUCUCACCGGUGCACUUCGCCUGGUUUAGGCCAGCAUCGGUUUCCGCGGGGGGAGAAAAGCUUCGGGAAUGUGGCUCCUCCGGGAGUGUUAUAGCCCGUUGCAUAAUACCCUCGCGGGGACCGAGGUUCGC